rnacentral:lncRNA from 1 species
CAAUCAAACACAAUAAUUUACAAUUCCAAAAAAAUAAUUUUUAGACAAUUUAAUUUCCUAGAAUUUGUUUUUUUCUAGUCAAAUUUCAUCUUUACAAUCAAACGGAUCCUAAAUGAAAAUUUUGUGCAUAACCAGCCAAUAUAUAAUUAGGCCUGAUCCAACGACUGAGAUAAAAUGAAUACAUGUAACAGGUAUAAUGGUACGAAUUCAACAAAACCAAAAGGAUGUGUUGAGCGUUGUGUUCUCCAUCAAUAAUCAUUUAAACGACUAUUCUCUUGGGGUGGGGG